ensembl:snoRNA
CUUGCACCCAAACCCAAAGGUCUCAUCAUGGCGGUGGUUUGACCUUGUCUGGUGUGCAGACAGGAAGCGGAUCCUUGUCGCCUUUCUCUGACGCCGCAGUGUCUUUGAAAGUGAAUUCAAGGACCAACACGU